rnacentral:lncRNA from 1 species
UAGCAUAUGAUCAUAGCUUCUUAUCAUAAUGGCAUCAAAUGCGGAGCAUGCUCAUCAGACAGAAUAAAAUCAAAUCACGCAUCAAAUUCACACUAAGUAUAUUAGAGCCCAAAAUCCUUGUUUUAAUUCUUAAUUCAUAACACUUAUCAUAAAACUUGUCUUAUUCUUUAGUCUUCUUAAAUUCAUAAUGUAAGCUUACUUUAGAAUGUAGUAACUGAAAAUUUCAUACUUAAACAUAAUUACUGAACACAGAAAAUUUCUUAUCGUAUGAAUCAUACUUGUAAGCUUACUUUAGAACUUAAG